rnacentral:rRNA from 1 species
UACGUAGGGUCCGAGCGUUGUCCGGAAUUACUGGGCGUAAAGAGCUCGUAGGCGGCUUGUUGCGUCAGCUGUGAAAACCCGCAGCUCAACUGUGGGCUUGCAGCUGAUACGGGCAGGCUUGAGUUCGGUAGGGGAGACUGGAAUUCCUGGUGUAGCGGUGAAAUGCGCAGAUAUCGGAAGGAACAUCGGUGGCGAAAGCGACUUCCUGGACCAGUACCGACGUUCAGGCACGAAAGCGUGGGGAGCAAACAGG